rnacentral:rRNA from 1 species
UAAGCGGAGGAAAAGAAACCAACAGGGAUUGCCUUAGUAGCGGCGAGCGAAGCGGCAACAGCUCAAAUUUGAAAUCUGGCUACUUCGUAGUCCGAGUUGUAAUUUGUAGAGGAUGCUUUUGGUGAGGUGCCUUCCGAGUUCCCUGGAACGGGACGCCGGAGAGGGUGAGAGCCCCGUACGGUUGGAUACCAAGCCUUUGUAUAGCUCCUUCAACGAGUCGAGUAGUUUGGGAAUGCUGCUCUAAAUGGGAGGUAUAUCUCUUCUAAAGCUAAAUACCGGCUAGAGACCGAUAGCGCACAAGUAGAGUGAUCGAAAGAUGAAAAGCACUUUGAAAAGAGAGUUAAACAGCACGUGAAAUUGUUGAAAGGGAAGCGCCUAUGACCAGACUUGUUUCUGUCAGUUUUGCUUGUUUUCGGACUUGUUUACUCUGUCAGUACAGGCCAACAUCAGUUUGUUGUUUGGGAGAAAGGCUUAGGGAAUGUGGCUCUUUCGAGAGUGUUAUAGCCCUUUGCAUAAUACCAUUCGGCAGACUGAGGACCGCGCUUCGGCAAGGAUGUUGGCGUAAUGGUCAUCAGCGACCCGUCUUGAAACACGGACCAAGGAGUCAACCUUAUGUGCGAGUGUUUGGGUGUAAAACCCCAGCGCGUAAUGAACGUGAACGUAGGUGAGAGCUUCGGCGCAUCAUCGACCGAUUCUGAUGUUCUCGGAUGGAUUUGAGUAAGAGCAUAUAGGGUUGGACCCGAAAGAAGGUGAACUAUGCUUGUAUAGGGUGAAGCCAGAGGAAACUCUGGUGGAGGCUCGCAGCGGUUCUGACGUGCAAAUCGAUCGUCAAAUAUGAGCAUGGGGGCGAAAG